rnacentral:rRNA from 1 species
CUACGGGCCGCAGCAGUGGGGAAUAUUGGACAAUGGGCGCAAGCCUGAUCCAGCAAUGCCGCGUGAGUGAAGACGGCCUUAGGGUUGUAAAACUCUUUCGCUAGGGAAGAUAAUGACUGUACCUAGUAAAGAAGUCCCGGCUAACUCCGUGCCAGCAGCCGCGGUAAUACGGAGGGGACUAGCGUUGUUCGGAAUUACUGGGCGUAAAGAGUUCGUAGGCGGACUGACAAGUUAGAGGUGAAAUCCCAGGGCUCAACCCUGGAACUGCCUUUAAAACUGUCAGUCUAGAGACCGGAAGAGGUUAGGGGAAUACCUAGUGUAGAGGUGAAAUUCGUAGAUAUUAGGUGGAACACCAGUGGCGAAGGCGCCUAACUGGUCCGGUACUGACGCUGAGGAACGAAAACGUGGGGAGCAAACAGGAUUAGAUACCCUGGUAGUC